rnacentral:tRNA from 2 species
GCGAAAAUAGCUCAGCUGGUAGAGCGCAACCUUGCCAAGGUUGAGGUCGCCGGUUCGAACCCGGUUUUUCGCU